rnacentral:lncRNA from 1 species
UGCCGCUGCUAGCAUCUUUGCACUAUCAGUCAUCACUGAGUCUUCUAUCCUGUAAAGAUUAUUACUCUAUCUUCUACCCCUCAUCAUCACUAAUGCUCCCUUAAAAAUCUUUAAGCAUCCACUCCUAGCUUGACUAUUAAAAGCAUAAUCCUACUUCUCCAAGUAGCCCAAAGAAAUCAGAUUUUUCUUUAGUUCUGAAACAUGCUUGACAUUUGACAAAGUUCAAAUAAUAUCGUCGUACAUCCUCACCCUAACAGUGCCAACAUCAGCCACUUUACAAAGAUGAUUAUCUCCAAGGCUAACACUUCCUCCAUUUGUCUUCUGGUAGGUAGCAAACUACUCCUGA